UGGGAUACCGCCCUGACUGUAUUGAAAUUCUAACCUACGGGUCUUAUCGACCCGGGAGACAGUGUCAGGUGGGCAGUUUGACUGGGGCGGUCGCCUCCUAAAGUGUAACGGAGGCGCCCAAAGGUUCCCUCAGAAUGGUUGGAAAUCAUUCGUAGAGUGCAAAGGCAUAAGGGAGCUUGACUGCGAGACCUACAAGUCGAGCAGGGACGAAAGUCGGGCUUAGUGAUCCGGUGGUUCCGCAUGGAAGGGCCAUCGCUCAACGGAUAAAAGCUACCCCGGGGAUAACAGGCUUAUCUCCCCCAAGAGUCCACAUCGACGGGGAGGUUUGGCACCUCGAUGUCGGCUCAUCGCAUCCUGGGGCUGUAGUCGGUCCCAAGGGUUGGGCUGUUCGCCCAUUAAAGCGGUACGCGAGCUGGGUUCAGAACGUCGUGAGACAGUUCGGUCCCUAUCCGUCGUGGGCGUAGGAAAUUUGAGAGGAGCUGUCCUUAGUACGAGAGGACCGGGAUGGACGCACCGCUGGUGUACCAGUUGUUCUGCCAAGGGCAUAGCUGGGUAGCUAUGUGCGGAAGGGAUAAGUGCUGAAAGCAUCUAAGCAUGAAGCCCCCCUCAAGAUGAGAUUUCCCAUAGCGUAAGCUAGUAAGAUCCCUGAAAGAUGAUCAGGUUGAUAGGUUCGAGGUGGAAGCAUGGUGACAUGUGGAGCUGACGAAUACUAAUAGAUCGAGGACU
rnacentral:rRNA from 1 species